rnacentral:rRNA from 1 species
UUUAAAUUUUAUUUAUUAAUUUUUUUUAAAAAUAGUUAAUUAAUAAAAAUAAUUUUAAAAAAUUUUGUUAGAGUAUUUUUUAAAGAAAAAAUAAAUUUUAUUAUAGUAUAUUUGUAUUGUAAAAGAAUAUUGAAAUAAUUUGAAAAAUUAUUAUUUAAAAAGAAGAUUUUAUUUAUUGUACCUUGUGUAUCAGGGUUUAUUAAUUAAUUAAUUAUUAUAUUAAUUUUUCUCGAAUUUUAAAGAUUUAAUUAUAUAAGAAAGUUAAUGUGGCAUAAUUAUUUUAAAUAUAUAAUUAGAAAUGAAAUGUUAAUCGUUUUAAAAUAUAUCUAGUUUUUUAAGAAAUAAAUUUAAUUUAGAUUUAUAAAUUUAAAAUUUUUAUUUUAAUAAAUUUUUAAAUUUAUAAAAUUAAUAUUUUAAGGGAUUAGCUUUAAAAUAAAUUUUUAUAUUUAUUUAUUAUAAGUUUAAUAAAUGUAGGCUUAAAAAUAGUUUAUCAUUAAAAAGUUUGUUAUAAUUUAUUUUAUGAGAAAUAUUAUUUAUUUAAAAAUUAAAUUAUUUAUUAAAAUAUAAAUUAUAAUUAGAAAAAUUUAUUAAAAAUGAUAAAAUUAGUAUAUUAAAUUUUAAAGAUUAUUUAAAAAGUUAGGUUUAAAUAAGGAAUUCGGCAAAUUAUAUAUUCACCUGUUUAUCAAAAACAUGUCUUUUUGAAAUUAAUUUAAAGUCUGGCCUGCCCACUGAUAUUUAUUAAAGGGCCGCAGUAUUUUGACUGUGCGAAGGUAGCAUAAUCAAUAGUUUUUUAAUUGAAAGCUAGUAUGAAUGGUCGAAUGAGAUAUAUACUGUCUUUUUUAAAUUUUUAUAGAAUUUUAUUUUUUAAUUAAAAAGUUAAAAUAUAAUUAAAGGACGAGAAGACCCUAUAGAUCUUUAUUUUUAUUUUUUAUAAAUUAAAAAGAAUUAAAUUUUUUAUAAUUUAAGAAAAAAUUUUACUGGGGUGGUAUUAAAAUUUAAUUAACUUUUAUUAUUAUUUAAUCAUUAAUGUAUGAAUAAAUGAUCCAAUUUUAUUGAUUAAAAAAUUAAGUUACCUUAGGGAUAACAGCGUAAUUUUUUUUUAGAGUUCAUAUCGACAAAAAAGAUUGCGACCUCGAUGUUGGAUUAAGAGUUAUUUUUAGGUGUAGAAGUUUAAAGUUUAGGUCUGUUCGACCUUUUGAUUCUUACAUGAUCUGAGUUCAAACCGGUGUAAGCCAGGUUGGUUUCUAUCCUUAAUUAGUUAUUUAUAUUAUAGUACGAAAGGACCUAAUAUAAGAAAUAUAGAUUUUAAUUUAAGAAUUUUAUUAAUAAUAUGUAA